ensembl:lincRNA
UUUAAGUCUAUGAAAUAUAUAUACACAGAAAAAAUGUGAAGAAAACAUUAUCUUUGAGCAAGGAGGCUAGAUUUCCUUCUCCAUAGUGAUAUCAUAUUUUCCAUAAAGAAAAUAACUCAAAGAAUUUUAAAGCAGCAUAUUCUUUUUUCUAAAUUGAAAAAUGACUGCCACCACCCAGUUCUAACCACUCCAUGAGUAAUAAAUGAGAAAGAAAGAGUCUUGAAAGAAUAAAGAGUGGUUAUGCACACAGUCCAUAAAGGACUACUUGUUCCUCUGAGCUGUGCCACAAAGGCCUUUCCUUCCCACGUUAGACUCCUACAGGGAUCCCACGCCACCAGCCUCAGCUCCACCAGCCUCAUCACAGUCCGGAGGAGUCCACAUUUGUAAUCCCAGGAAAAAGUUACUGGAAUUCCAAUAAGUAAUUCCAGUCUACCACUUCACCGCAACCUAUAGGCAGAAUAAAGAGACGGACACAUAUCUACAGUGGUGGGGAGCCGAGGGGGUCCUAAGUCCAGCUAUGAUGAUGACUGACCGGAACAAAGGCCUCGACCCAGGGCCAAACCCAGCUUUUAUUAAUUCAUGGAAUGAGGAGUGGCUCACGGAUGAGUGACUGUGAGAAUCAUGGGAAGUAUGUGAGUACUGUGGAGGGGGUUGCUUAGGUAGGAGUCAUUGUAGCACCUGGGCAAUAUGCAGAGAGAGGUAUGCACAAAGAUUGAUCUGCAUAACACAGUUUAAGGAAGUAUCUUGGGUUUUUUUGUUGUUGUUUGUUUGUUUUUGAGACAGGGUCUCAGUAUGCAGUUCAGGCUGGCCUUGAGCUCACUUUGUAGCCCAGGCUGGUCUCGGAACUCGCAACAAUCCUCCUGCCUCAGCCUCCCGAGUGGAGUACUGGGAUUACAGGCAUGCGCCACCACGCCGAGCUGAGGAAGGAUCUCAUGUUUUGGGGGAGAGCAGCAUGGUGCCCGGGAGGAGAAAGGAAAGUCGGCUUGGAGUGUGGGGAGCGGCUGGAGCUGGUCAUCAAUCACGCAUGCAGGACAAAGCCUGGCCAAGAACACGGGGAGCUCCUUGAACCAUGAUAUUAAUUUCAAGCUGCUGCAGCUUGUUAACUGAUUGCUGAAGUGAGAGAGGCUGAAAUUAAUAUCACCCUCUAGAGGGUAUAAAUAAACGCUCUACCGUUCUUGGGCAGUUCUCCUCUGCUUAGGAGAGAGUAUCUCUACCUGACCCAGCUCUUGUCUCUUGUCUAUCUUUUCCUCAUUCCCACCGCCUUCCUCCGCGGGUACACAGAGAGCCCAAGUCUCAACAUUGGAGUUGAAAGUCCGGUUCUGUUUAAGACUACUGGAAAUUAGGGCGUGGCUAACCAGCUGAGGAAGUACUUGUGACCUGUCAAUCAUGGAGACCCAGGACACAUGCGCAGAAAAGGUUCCCAAGCCCCACAGCUGGGACUAACCAGAAAAUGCUAUCUUUGAUUUUUCUGGUCAAAAAUUAAUCAGGUUUCUGACAGGACAGCCUAGGCUGACGUCAGCCUGAGCAACAGCAAGACCUCUAUCAUUAAUUUGGCGUCUGUGCUCUUCCAUGACCCACACUCUGCAGAAUAUGCAUUAUUUUUUUUCCCUACAUUUAAUAAAUAUAAAACCUGGCUACUUUUUGCACAUGUCUUGUCCAAUUCUUUGUUCAGGACAAGAAUCUGGAAAAAAAAAUCUCUGGAAAGGGCCUACAGCGCACCCCCACCACACUGGAUAACACAACCACCAGCUCCAUAACUGGUGUCUUAUAAAAUGGAGUGGGAAAUGUUUUAGUCUCCAUAGAGUUAGUAUUCUCUGGUUUCAUGUCUGGGUUUUAUUUUACAUUGGUGUAUAUGUUUUUGUGUGUGUGCCCCAUAUGCAAAGUUAAUAUCUACAUUAAGAGUUACAGCAGUAAAGGAACUUUUUGAAUUAUCAUUAGGUUACCUUGUCCAGGAGUCAAUUCCAAGCAGGUCAAGGUUCUUCACCUUUAGCCUACUGACAUUAUCAAAUCAGCAGGAAUUCGGUUAGAGGAUGGACCAAGAUAACUGUCCCUACUGAAUUCCCCUUUGACCCUCCAGGCGCUGCAGUCCCACUCAGGGCCCAUUACUCAACUCAAGCGCUGUUGUACGGCCAAUACUUAGCAGGGCAAGUUUCAUUAUUUAGCAAUAUAUAGAUUCUUUUUUAAUGUCCAGAGAAGAGGGAAGAACAAGUUGUUGAGUAAUUCUCUGAAUGAAAUACACUAGGGAUAGACCAUCUAAAAAUACUCUUUUCCAGAAAGCCAGACAUAAGAACGCAACUUUAAAGUGCCUCGUAGUAUGUAACAAAGCUUAGAGACGUGCACCCAAAAGCUAGGUCCUACCCCUGCACACUUGAUGUACACCACUUUCUCUGCCUCUCUCCCUAGUUUAUUCUGUAUAAUGCAAAUAAAAGAUAAUAUUUUUUAGUUUAGCAUUUUCAACAGUAUAUAGACAAAGGAUGAAUAUCCAGAAUGUUAAUACAUAAUAAAAUAAGUAGGGAAAAAAAAAAAUCAAAGAAUUCAGUUUUUAAAAAAUUGGCUGAAAGUAUGGCAAGCAAUCCAUAAGAAUCAGCCUAAAUGACUAACAUUCAAAAAGAUGUUGGCUCAUUGCAAUCAGAGAAAUAUAAACCAAAUCACAAGAGAUACUACUUUAUACCAAUAAGGUUUAGCUUACUAGGAAACAAUGCGGCAUCAAUUCAAAGACACUGAGAGCCUGUGAUUCAGCAAUUCUGUCACUAGCCUGGGUCUAAGAGGGUCCUGAAGCUAGGAUGCCAAGUUUAACCCACCCUAAACACAGAAUGCUUGGAGGUUCAUCAGUGAAAGGCAAGAGAAGGGUUUAUUAGGCAGAGAUUUAGGACAUACUCAAAAGUGGGCUGCUGAUGCUCAGAGAAAUGAGAUCCCUUAGAGUUCGAAACUGGAAAUAUUUGUGCUUGUAGCAGUGGAAUUCUGUGAAGUUGAUUAUCUAGUCUUGGUCUUGUUUGGUGGAUGGAGGAAGUUGGCUCACCCAUCGUAAGACAAUGAUCUACUCAAAGGUGAAAGUCCAUUGUACAGGUGAAAAGGUGGACUAUUCACCAAUGAAAGAGGGCAAUCUGCAAGUAAAAAGAGAAUACAAUAGUAGAGAAUCCACUUGCAGGUCGAAGGGAAUUUCCCAGGCUCAUUGUGUUCUGGGAGAGGAGAGGGAAAAAAGUUAAAACAAAUAAAAUGGGCUUGUGUAGUGAAACUAGUUUUCAUUUUUAAAAUUAUGAUUUUCCUAAUCCCAACACUCAGGAGGCUGAGGCAGAAAGAUCACUUCGAAUUCAAGGCCAGCCUGGGCUACAUAGUGAGUUCAAGGACAACCUGAAUUAAUUACAUAGCAAGACCCUGUCUCAAAAAGCAAAACAACUAACUAAAUAAAUAAAUAAAAAGAUAAAACAUUGUUAGAAAAAUGGCCUCGGUGGCAACCCACUUCUGGGACUCCUCCUGUCUUUCAGGAGCUAUCUCUCAAUAAAUCUCCGCCCUUCUUAAAAAAAAAAAAAAAAACAUAAAAAAUGAGCUGGGUGUGGUGGCGCACAUCUGUACUCCCAGCACUCGCUGAGGCACGAGGAUCGCUGAGUUCGAGGCCUGCCUGGGCUACAAAGUGAGUUCAAGGCCAACCUGAAGUGCAUAGUGAAACACUGUCUGAAAAAGACAAAAAAAAAAUAAAUAAAAUAGGUGUUAUGGGAAGGGAAGCAGGUGAUUAGGGUGUGGCCAACCAGCCGGGCAAGUGGGCAUCACCUAUUAAUCACAGAAAUCCAGAAUACAAAUGACCACGCCCAGCACCUAGGACCAAUCAGAAAUUGCCGUUUUUCAGUUCUUCUGGAGUGAAGCAGGUUCUGGACAGGAUGACCUAGAUCUGAUAUCAGAAUGAGGGGAAACAAAUGAUGGUGGCCAUUAACCUUGUGGCCAUUGUGAGCUCAGUGCCCGCUCUCACUGUGUACAGCAUACUUCUGUUCUUAUCUUUAAUAUAUUUAACAGUUCACUACCAUUUGUGUGUUGUCUAAUUCUCUGUUCAGGACAAGAACCUGCAAAGAAUCUCUGAAAGAAGUCCAGAGCACCCUAAGACCCCUGGUUACAGAAGCACUAAUGAAAAUGCAAUGGUAACUUCCUUCCUAAGAAAUAUUGACCUCUGAGGGUUAAAAUUAUUGAUCCAAUUCACUCAAAUAUAAACUUCUGACUGGAAAAAAUUCAAUACAGUCAAAAUAUAGGAAAUAUUAUCUAUCAGGCAUCAAAUUACAUAUUAAGGAAAGGGGAAAUAUUUCCGUAGGUAUCUAGA